rnacentral:rRNA from 1 species
UACAGAGGGUGCGAGCGUUGUCCGGAAUCACUGGGCGUAAAGGGCGCGUAGGCGGCCCGGUAAGGUUGCGGUGAAAGCCCGGGGCUCAACCCCGGGUCGGCCGUGGCAACUGCUGGGCUGGAGCACAGUAGAGGCGGGUGGAAUUCCGGGUGUAGCGGUGGAAUGCGUAGAGAUCCGGAAGAACACCGGUGGCGAAGGCGGCCCGCUGGGCUGUUGCUGACGCUGAGGCGCGACAGCGUGGGGAGCAAACGGG